GUUUCUGACCUAGAUAUCUCUCUACCCAGUACUCCUGCAUCUUUUCACCCCGAGAUCCCUUCACACACCUCACAUACAUUUUUUGAUCCUGCUCAUCUUUCAUUUACUCCACCAUCCUUUGAUCUCGGCCCUGAUUUCAAUCAAACCCCUCCUGUCAUGCACACGCAAUCCCCAUCGUACAACAUUGGUCAUAUAGACCAUGUACCGCCCCAUAGUCACUCCAUGUCAUUCAUGCCCACUCCUAGACUGCAUAUAGAUCCCAUGAGUACGGGCACUCACAUUUCAUUUGCUACACCAUCCUCCCCCGCAGUUGUUGGGAGUCAAGCAAAACAACCAGCUGUGCAUGUUGAGAAUGAGCAGGUUGUUGGGUUACAGUCACCCCCACAAGGUCGACCUAAACGUACAAUGAAAGCACCUCCUUGUGGGACAGGUGGUCACAAAGCAGGACACAACGCUGGCCCCACGCAACGUGAGGAGCCUCACGAAGGAGAUGCAGUACCCCCUCCCCCACAUACCAGACACUAUACGAGACAGCAUAAGCGUAAAAUGCAUUAGGAUUAGCAUCCCAUAGAGAAACAAAGGAGGACACUCGAGAAUUGGAGUUUCUGACCCUAAGUGAUGAUCAGCACUUAGCUUAGAAAACACCUCACUCUUUCUAGGUUGGACCUGAAAAUGCUUCACAGGUUUGUCCAGCCCCGUACUGAAUGAAGGGGAGCUUGAGUCCUUGCUAAAUGAUCCCUCUUUGAAACCUCAAGUUUUGCCAACAUUUUUUGAUAUUCGUAAAGGAGUUGAUGGUUCCUUGGAAAAGACACUAAAUAUAUAUAGUGAAGCUGCUGAUGAAGCUGUUCGAAAUGGUUCCCAACUGCUUGUUCUGUCAGACCGUUCUGAUGUGCUGGAACCAACUCGUCCGGCAGUUCCAAUACUUCUGGCUGUUGGUGCGGUUCAUCAGCAUCUUAUUCAGAAUGGAUUGCGAAUGUCAGCUUCUAUUGUUGCAGAGACUGCACAAUGCUUCAGCACUCAUCAGUUUGCCUGUUUGGUUGGAUUUGGUGCAAGUGCCAUAUGUCCAUACUUGGCACUAGAAACAUGCCGACAGUGGCGUCUGAGUAAUAAAACCGUAAACAAUUAUGAGGAAUGGAAAGAUGCCUACUGUAACAAUUGAGCAGGCUCAAAAGAACUUUUGCAAGGCUGUUAAAUCCGGUCUUCUCAAAAUUCUUUCCAAAAUGGGAAUCUCAUUGCUUUCUAGGCUUAAGCAAGGGAGAAAGCUGAAAAAGAGGGAUUUGAAGUAAGCAAUCCCAAGACCCAAAAUUUGGUGGCUAACACAAAGGCCCUAGCAGAAAAUGAAGGGGAGGGACUUGCCAAGCACAGUUGAAGAGUUGGUGGAAGUGGGUCCUGAACAGUUAAAGGAGGUACUUAAUAUACCGACUAAGAUGAAUGAGCUGUUGGUGCCAUAUUGUCAGCAACUGAUUCAGUUUGCACGCUGCAGGGACAAGGAGCUUGUCAUUUCCUUCAAUGGGAGGAUACUCAAGAAAUUACCACAAUUAAUGAUCUUGUAGAUGAAAGCAAACAUGGCAUAUCUGUAGAUUCUACUUCAACAAGCCAUGAGUUAGUCACUAAAAUGGGUGAUUUGAGUACUAAUAAUUGAAAGAGGAAGUUUGAUUCACUAGAGAUGGAAAAUCCUCAACAUCUCCCAACUUCUGUGGCUGUACAUGAACAUUUUGAGAAAGAUCAAGAGCCUGUCAUAGAGAGGAGUGAACAUGAUGAGAGUUCAGAGAAUUUAACAUCUACAAAGUAUAUUGAUCCAUCACGAGUUGAGGACUCUUCAAAUCUCCAA